AACGAACGCUGGCGGCAGGCCUAACACAUGCAAGUCGAGCGAAGCCUUCGGGCUUAGCGGCGGACGGGUGAGUAACGCGUGGGAACGUGCCCUUUGGUACGGAAUAGCCCCGGGAAACUGGGAGUAAUACCGUAUGUGGUCGAGAGACGAAAGAUUUAUCGCCAAAGGAUCGGCCCGCGUUGGACUAGGUAGGUGGGGGGGUAAUGGCCUACCAAGCCGACGAUCCAUAGCUGGUUUGAGAGGAUGAUCAGCCACACUGGGACUGAGACACGGCCCAGAAUCCUACGGGAGGCAACAGAGGGGAAUCUUGGACAAUGGGGGAAACCCUGAUCUAGCCAUGCCGCGUGAUCGAUGAAGGCCUUAGGGUUGUAAAGAUCUUUCAGUGGGGAAGAUAAUGACUGUACCCACAGAAGAAGCCCCGGCUAACUCCGUGCCAGCCGCCGCCGUAAGAC
rnacentral:rRNA from 1 species